GGAAAUUCAAAGUACUUUACAUCAUAAACAAGUAUGAGAAUAUUUAAAAAAUAAAAACAUCUUGAGUGUUCAAAACAUUCUUAGGUUUCUAAAUAUGAUUAUUUUGCUUUGUUUUACUUUUUUGACUCUUGAAUUUAUUAUUAUGAUCGUCUCUUUCACAGAAUAAUACUUUUUAAAAACUGCCAGGAUACAAGUACUCCGUUAUUUGGAAACAAAAAAAAAAGCUGAAGAAAUCACAGUAAGUUCUACUAUUAAUAGAAUCACCCAGAUAUUAAUUUGUUCAAUUAUUAAGAAAAGUAGAGUACUUCAUAGAAAUUUGAAUUAUAUCUCAAAUUAGAAGAUAUAAUUAUGGGUUCCUAAAGAGUUCCUAUGGAAUUAUAAAAAAUAAUGCCUGGUAUAUUGGUUAAUCUGUCAGCAAUUCUCAGGAAUCCCCACAUAAAAAUUCUUGUGGUGGUUCAUUUAAACUAGAUGUCAAUGUUUUAAGAUAUGUAGAAUUUAGCAGAAGGAAUUUCGUACAAGAUCAUAUCCUAUUUUGUUGUUUUCUUUUAUAAAUGCUAGCGGUUAUUUCCUUCAUUCCUUAGAUUUUAGAUACUUCAGUUCCAGAGGCUGAUAUAUAAUACAUUAUAUUAUUCACUAAAAUUUUCACUAGACUCAAAAUAGAGAGAUGCAGACAUUUUAAACUUAAAUAUUAUUAUGAAACAGACAGGUCCCCCUUUGCAUGCACUAGAUCAAAACAAUCAUUGUAUUAAGCUAUCUGAAUUUAUUCCAGACAUCAAAAAAAAAAAAAAGAAAAUAUAACACAUGGCAGGAAAGUUGUACAUUUUUCAUUCACAGGGAAGUUAAUGUCUCAUUUUUAUUAGAAGUCAAUAUUUCAGGGACUCAUACGUUGCAGAUAUAAUUCUGAAAAAAAAAGUGCGUUGUCAAAUCUUCACAAAAUGUAUGGGUAUUUAUUUCCAGUUUUCACAAAAGUAGUAAAGUUAUAUUGCUUACAUUCAAAAGCUAAUGUUUGAGCUAAGGCUGCCAUGCUGACA
rnacentral:lncRNA from 1 species